rnacentral:rRNA from 1 species
GUGGGGAAUAUUGGACAAUGGGCGCAAGCCUGAUCCAGCCAUGCCGCGUGAGUGAUGACGGCCCUAGGGUUGUAAAGCUCUUUCGCAGGUGAAGAUAAUGACGGUAACCUGAGAAGAAGCCCCGGCUAACUUCGUGCCAGCAGCCGCGGUAAUACGAAGGGGGCUAGCGUUGUUCGGAAUUACUGGGCGUAAAGCGCACGUAGGCGGAUUGUUAAGUUAGGGGUGAAAUCCCGGGGCUCAACCCCGGAACUGCCUCUAAUACUGGCAAUCUCGAGUCCGAGGGAGGUGAGUGGAAUUCCGAGUGUAGAGGUGAAAUUCGUAGAUAUUCGGAGGAACACCAGUGGCGAAGGCGGCUCACUGGCUCGGUACUGACGCUGAGGUGCGAAAGCGUGGGGAGCAAACAGGAUUAGAAACCCGAGUAGUCC